rnacentral:rRNA from 1 species
GAAUUGACGGGGGCCCGCACAAGCGGUGGAGCAUGUGGUUUAAUUCGAUGCAACGCGAAGAACCUUACCUGGUCUUGACAUCCACGGAAGUUUUCAGAGAUGAGAAUGUGCCUUCGGGAACCGUGAGACAGGUGCUGCAUGGCUGUCGUCAGCUCGUGUUGUGAAAUGUUGGGUUAAGUCCCGCAACGAGCGCAACCCUUAUCCUUUGUUGCCAGCGGUCCGGCCGGGAACUCAAAGGAGACUGCCAGUGAUAAACUGGAGGAAGGUGGGGAUGACGUCAAGUCAUCAUGGCCCUUACGACCAGGGCUACACACGUGCUACAAUGGCGCAUACAAAGAGAAGCGACCUCGCGAGAGCAAGCGGACCUCAUAAAGUGCGUCGUAGUCCGGAUUGGAGUCUGCAACUCGACUCCAUGAAGUCGGAAUCGCUAGUAAUCGUGGAUCAGAAUGCCACGGUGAAUACGUUCCCGGGCCUUGUACACACCGCCCGUCACACCAUGGGAGUGGGUUGCAAAAGAAGUAGGUAGCUUAACCUUCGGGAGGGCGCUUACCACUUUGUGAUUCAUGACUGGGGUGAAGUCGUAACAAGGUAACCGUAGGGGAACCUGCGGUUGGAUCACCUCCUUACCUUAAAG